CGUAGGAGGCAAGCGUUAUCCGGAUUCACUGGGCGUAAAGCGUGUGCAGGCGGUUCGGUAAGUUGGGCGUGAAAUCUCCCGGCUUAACUGGGAGAGUCGUUCAAUACUACCGGGCUAGAGAGCAGUAGAGGAAGAUGGAAUUCCCGGUGUAGUGGUGAAAUGCGUAGAUAUCGGGAGGAACACCAGUGGCGAAGGCGAUCUUCUGGACUGCGUCUGACGCUCAUACACGAAAGCUAGGGUAGUAAACGGGAUUAGAGACCCCGGUAAUCCUAGCCGUAAACGAUGUGAACUUGGCGUCGGUGGCUUAAACACUAUCGGUGCCGAAGCAAACGCGAUAAGUUCACCGCCUGGGGACUACGAUCGCAAGAUUA
rnacentral:rRNA from 1 species